UACAGAGGUCUCAAGCGUUGUUCGGAUUCAUUGGGCGUAAAGGGUGCGUAGGCGGCGCGGUAAGUCGGGUGUGAAAUCUCGGAGCUUAACUCCGAAAUUGCAUUCGAUACUGCCGUGCUCGAGGACUGGAGAGGAGAGUGGAAUUCAUGGUGUAGCAGUGAAAUGCGUAGAGAUCGUGAGGAAGACCAGUGGCGAAGGCGGAUCUCUGGGCCGUAACUGACGCUGAGGAGCGAAAGCAUGGGGAGCGAACAGG
rnacentral:rRNA from 1 species